UCGGCGCGCGUGCGCGCCCACGCUCCAGACGGCCGCCUCAGCCUCGUGAGAGGCCUUCGCGUUUUACGUCUGUGCGGUGCGUGUGGAGCAGGUGCUUCAAGUUGUUAGUUGUUGGAAAGUGAUGUGAGGGACUGAAGGAACGCUGACAAGUGUGUCUUAAGAAUCACGUUUCAACCUCAGACCUGUAGGAGUGCGUCAUCCGAAAGACUGGGCCACGGAGGGCCAGCUCCUUGCACGAUAAAUCUGCCAUCUCCUCGGAGGCUCCCGAGUGUAUGUGGCUUGAGUUUCUAUCUCUCCGCUCUUUCUCGCAAGGCUCGGAUAUUUAUGGGUUAACACGGCCCGUGCUCUAACACGGCCAAGUAGAUGGACAAAAGGGAGCAAGCCCCAAAAGAGACUCGUUGGUUCAAACUGCAAACAGCAAACAAUUGGUGUAAUAUAAAUUCCAUGGGGUCACAGACGAGCACAAACUAUACCCCUUGACUUGACGAGCGGUACCGAGGAGACUCGAGACUCCUUUUUGCUGACGGCACCCGGGGAGACAGUAGAAUGAGGAGAAUACAGUUUAUAUAGAGAGAAGGCUAUCUAGCAGCCGCUUUUGCCUGCAUAGACUGAGACUGAGGGGUUCAUAAUCAUAUAAGCCAGAAUUAAAGGCCCCUUUUCUAUUUCAUACCAUUAAGCUAGAUGUUGACAACCUGGGAAACCUUAGAAGCCAUAAAUUGAAGAUGGAAGAGCCUCCACCAGCCUGAUCUCUAAACAACUAUGGAGAGCAUACCCACAUGCUGCACCCAACCAAGUAGCAACCAGGAUCAUCCACAUUGGACUGAGUGUUUUAUAGUGCCAUGCCAACUCUAAUGAAGUUAGUUGAUGAUCUGAAAACUUUGAUGGUUGGAGCAUUCUUGAUGAGAACACAAGGCAAUGAAACUCAGAAAAAUCCUCAACAGAAAUGAUGGAGGUCAACUCUUAUGCUCAGCUGUGUGUGAAUAAAGUCAUGGAAUAUACAGUUGUUCCAGGGGGACUACUUGGCUUUCACUCCUCUUUAUCCUGCCAUCUUAGAUCCUCUCUCAGCUUGGAUCUUGAUUAACUUACUGAAGUCCUUUAAAAACACUGGCCAGACCAAGAUAAUUGCUGGCUUAGCUCAGAGAUGCUUGGAGUUGUGGACCCCUGAUGUUGGCUGAUGCUUAGACAUUUUGGAGAAUGCCAUU